rnacentral:rRNA from 1 species
AGAGUUUGAUCCUGGCUCAGAACGAACGCUGGCGGCAGGCCUAAAACAUGCAAGUCGAACGAACCUUCGGGUUAGUGGCGCACGGGUGCGUAACACGUGGGAAUAUGCCCUUCAGUACGGAAUAACUCACCGAAAGGUGUGCUAAUACCGUAUAAUGACUCCGGUCCAAAGAUUUAUCGCUGAAGGAUUAGCCCGCGUCUGAUUAGGUAGUUGGUGAGGUAAGAGCUCACCAAGCCGACGAUCAGUAGCUGGUUUGAGAGGAUGAUCAGCCACACUGGGACUGAGACACGGCCCAGACUCCUACGGGAGGCAGCAGUUAGGAAUAUUGCGCAAUGGAGGAAACUCUGACGCAGCCAUGCCGCGUGAGUGACGACGGCCUUAGGGUUGUAAAGCUCUUUCAGGUGUGAAGAUAAUGACGGUAACACCAGAAGAAGCCCCGGCUAAAUUCGUGCCAGCAGCCGCGGUAAUACGAAUGGGGCAAGCGUUGUUCGGAAUCACUGGGCGUAAAGCGUAUGUAGGCGGCUUUUCAAGUCAGAAGUGAAAGCCUGGGGCUCAACCCCAGAAUUGCUUUUGAAACUGGAUCGCUAGAGUCCCGGAGAGGUUGGCGGAAUUCCGAGUGUAGAGGUGAAAUUCGCAGAUAUUCGGAGGAACACCAGUGGCGUAGGCGGCCAACUGGACGGGUACUGACGCUGAGAUACGAAAGCAUGGGGAGCAAACAGGAUUAGAUACCCUGGUAGUCCAUGCCGUAAACGAUGUAUGCUAGUUGUCGGGAUCUUAAGAUUUCGGUGACGGAGUUAACGCAUUAAGCAUACCGCCUGGGGAGUACGGCCGCAAGGUUAAAACUCAAAGGAAUUGAC